AUUGAACGCUGGCGGCAGGCUUAACACAUGCAAGUCGAGCGGGGUGAGGUGCUUCGGUACUGAUCCUAGCGGCGGACGGGUGAGUAAUGCUUAGGAAUCUGCCAUUUAGUGGGGGACAACAUUCCGAAAGGAAUGCUAAUACCGCAUACGUCCUACGGGAGAAAGCAGGGGAUCUUCGGACCUUGCGCUAAAUGAUGAGCCUAAGUCGGAUUAGCUAGUUGGUGGGGUAAAGGCCUACCAAGGCGACGAUCUGUAGCGGGUCUGAGAGGAUGAUCCGCCACACUGGGACUGAGACACGGCCCAGACUCCUACGGGAGGCAGCAGUGGGGAAUAUUGGACAAUGGGCGGAAGCCUGAUCCAGCCAUGCCGCGUGUGUGAAGAAGGCCUUUUGGUUGUAAAGCACUUUAAGCGAGGAGGAGGCUACCUGGAUUAAUACUCUAGGAUAGUGGACGUUACUCGCAGAAUAAGCACCGGCUAACUCUGUGCCAGCCGCCGCCGUAACAC
rnacentral:rRNA from 1 species